rnacentral:lncRNA from 1 species
UGUUACAAAGUUUCAAGAAACUAAUUUGUAAUUCCCCUUUUUUCUUUAGUGUUUUCUGGCCUGGGUUCUCGUAACACAAACAGCCGCUCUCAAGCUUCCACACCCAGUAUCUCAAUUGGAGGGAGAAGUACAGACAGACGAGCACUUGGCCUCAAAAUUCAAGACGUGAGGAGCAGAGACACACCACGAGACAGAGGAAACUCCCCCAGACCUCGGGACAGACAGAGGAGAGAGGAAAGAGAGACAGUGAGGGAGAGCAUCUCCAGACCCAGUCCCAGGCCCAGUCCCACUCCGAGCCGCAGAGAGUCUCAGUCUCUUUGGAGCAGGUCCAGUCAGAACCAGGCGGCCCCUGCUGCGGCCCCGAUCCCUGUACAGACUCCAAUCCCAGCCGCUCCUGCUCCUGCUCCAGCUCCUGCUCCUGCUCCUGCACCAGCAUCCACUGGAGGUUUCAGUCGGAUGGCGUCAAUCAGCAGCCUCUUCCGCUCCCAUCGGCGUGGCACCACCCCGGCCACCCCAGUCAGUAACUCACCGUUUGCAGGAGGAAACCCAUGGGGGAUGUCUGCUGUGCCGGAAACGCCCACAGAAAUUAACCCCAGUCUCUUCUUGGACACGCCCCUCCCCAACGCCAUGAAUCACGCGCCUGUUUUCCCUGCGUUGAGAGAGAUCAACAUCGACAGCAUCCAGGCGCCGGAGCCGAGGAGCAGGGAGGAGUUCCUUCAGUGUGAGUCUCAAUGUUUGACAACAGUAUUACAUUUCAGAUAUGAGAUGUCAUCAUGUCUGCUGCAGGGGAGUGAUAAAUAUGGUCUGCCCGGGUGCUCAAUGCUGUUCACGAUUACUGCAAAGAAACUGAUUUACUGAAACAUCAAACAUCCAACAUCCAAUGUGGACAAGGAUUUUUCCAUUUAUAUGGCAAUAUAUAUUACUUGCCUUUUGUAGGGAAUAAACACUCCAGGUCAACAUUCAUUCAGACAAAAACAGUUCUAACUCAAGA